rnacentral:rRNA from 1 species
CUGUUGUUGGUGAUGGAACUUGCUUCCUGAGCUGACGACAGCCGCAGAAACCAGGCCGCUGCAACUGUUUAUUAAAAACAUAGCACUCUGCAAACACGAAAGUGGACGUAUAGGGUGUGAUGCCUGCCCGGUGCUGGAAGGUUAAUUGAUGGGGUUAGCGUAAGCGAAGCUCUUGAUCGAAGCCCCAGUAAACGGCGGCCGUAACUAUAACGGUCCUAAGGUAGCGAAAUUCCUUGUCGGGUAAGUUCCGACCUGCACGAAUGGCAUAAUGAUGGCGGCGCUGUCUCCAGCAGAGGCUCAGUGAAAUCGAAAUCGCUGUGAAGAUGCAGUGUACCCGCGGCUAGACGGAAAGACCCCGUGAACCUUUACUGCAGCUUGACACUGAACUUUGACCUUACUUGUGUAGGAUAGGUGGGAGGCUUUGAAGUUGGAACGCUAGUUCCAAUGGAGCCGUCCUUGAAAUACCACCCUGGUAAUGUUGAGGUUCUAACUCUGUCCCGUUAUCCGGGACGAGGACCGUGUCUGGUGGGUAGUUUGACUGGGGCGGUCUCCUCCUAAAGAGUAACGGAGGAGUACGAAGGUGCGCUCAGCGUGGUCGGAAAUCACGCGUAGAGUAUAAAGGCAAAAGCGCGCUUAACUGCGAGACCCACAAGUCGAGCAGGUACGAAAGUAGGUCUUAGUGAUCCGGUGGUUCUGUAUGGAAGGGCCAUCGCUCAACGGAUAAAAGGUACUCUGGGGAUAACAGGCUGAUACCGCCCAAGAGUUCAUAUCGACGGCGGUGUUUGGCACCUCGAUGUCGGCUCAUCUCAUCCUGGGGCUGAAGCAGGUCCCAAGGGUAUGGCUGUUCGCCAUUUAAAGAGGUACGCGAGCUGGGUUUAGAACGUCGUGAGACAGUUCGGUCCCUAUCUACCGUGGGCGCUGGAAAUUUGAGAGGAUCUGCUCCUAGUACGAGAGGACCAGAGUGGACGAACCUCUGGUGUACCGGUUGUGACGCCAGUCGCAUCGCCGGGUAGCUAUGUUCGGAAGGGAUAACCGCUGAAAGCAUCUAAGCGGGAAGCCUACCUCAAGAUAAGAUUUCCCUAGGAAUUUAUUCCUCUAAAGAGCCGUUCGAGACUAGGACGUGAUAGGUUGGAUGUGGAAGCAUAGUGAUAUGUGAAGCUGACCAAUACUAAUUGCUCGUGAGGCUUGACUAUACAACACCCAAGCAGUUG